UUUUCACAAUGGGCGAAAGCCUGAUGGAGCGACGCCGCGUGGGGGAUGAAUGGCUUCGGCCCGUAAACCCCUGUCAUUUGCGAUCAACCGUUAUUAUUUAAAAGAUGAUGACCUGAUAGUAGCGAAAGAGGAAGGGACGGCUAACUCUGUG
rnacentral:rRNA from 1 species